AGAGUUUGAUCCUGGCUCAGGNNNNNNCNGGCGGCGUGCUUAACACAUGCAAGUCGAACGAGACGAUUGAAAGCUUGCUUUGAAAGUCGAGUGGCAAACGGGUGAGUAACGCGUAGACAACCUGCCGUAAAGAUGGGGACAACAGUCCGAAAGGACUGCUAAUACCGAAUGUUGUGGAACUUCCGCAUGGGAGCUCCACUAAAGAUGGCCUCUACUUGUAAGCUAUCGCUUUACGAUGGGUCUGCGUCUGAUUAGCUAGUUGGUGGGGUAACGGCCUACCAAGGCGACGAUCAGUAGCCGGUCUGAGAGGAUGAACGGCCACAUUGGAACUGAGACACGGUCCAGACUCCUACGGGAGGCAGCAGUGGGGAAUCUUCCGCAAUGGGCGCAAGCCUGACGGAGCAAACGCCGCGUGAGUGAAGAAGGGUUUCGACUCGUAAAGCUCUGUUGUCGGGGACGAAUUUGGAGAUGGUGAAUAACCAUUUCCAAUGACGGUACCUGACGAGGAAGCCACGGUUAACUACGUGCCAGCAGCCGCGGUAAUACGUAGGUGGCGAGCGGUUGUCCGGGAAUUAUUUGGGCCUAAAGGGAGCGCAGGCGGGGAGAAUCAAGUCUAUCUUAAAAAGGGCGGGGGCCCAACCCCCUGAGGGGGAAUGAAAACUGGUCUUCUUGAUUGNNNGGAAAGGAAAAGCGGAAAUUCCUAUUGGUANNGGUGA
rnacentral:rRNA from 1 species